CAGUCGAACGAAAAGACGGAAAGAGCUUGCUCUUUCCGGAAUUGAGUGGCCACUGAGUGAGUAACACGUAAACAACCUGCCUUCAGGAUGGGGACAACAGACGGAAACGACUGCUAAUACCGAAUAAGUUCCAAGAGCCGCAUGGCCCAUGGAAGAAAAGGUGGCCUCUACCUGUAAGCUAUCGCCUGAAGAGGGGUUUGCGUCUGAUUAGCUGGUUGGAGGGGUAACGGCCCACCAAGGCGACGAUCAGUAGCCGGUCUGAGAGGAUGAACGGCCACACUGGAACUGAGACACGGUCCAGACUCCUACGGGAGGCAGCAGUGGGGAAUCUUCCGCAAUGGGCGAAAGCCUGACGGAGCAACGCCGCGUGAGUGAUGACGGCCUUCGGGUUGUAAAACUCUGUGAUCCGGGACGAAAAGGCAGAGUGCGAAGAACAAACUGCAUUGACGGUACCGGAAAAGCAAGCCACGGCUAACUACGUGCCAGCAGCCGCGGUAAUACGUAGGUGGCAAGCGUUGUCCGGAAUUAUUGGGCGUAUAGCGCGCGCAGGCGGCUUCCCAAGUCCCUCUUAAAAGUGCGGGGCUUAACCCCGUGAUGGGAAGGAAACUGGGAAGCUGGAGUAUCGGAGAGGAAAGUGGAAUUCCUAGUGUAGCGGUGAAACGCGU
rnacentral:rRNA from 1 species